AACGUAGGACGCAAGCGUUAUCCGGAGUUACUGGGCGUAAAGCGCGGGCAGGCGGUCGGUCAAGUCUGAUGCGAAAUCUCUCCGCUCAACGGGGAGCAGCCAUUGGAAACUGGGCGACUGGAGUCUGACAGAGGUAGGCGGAAUUCCGGGUGGAGUGGUGAAAUGCGUAGAGAUCCGGAGGAACACCAGAGGCGAAGGCGGCCUACUGGGUCAGUACUGACGCUGAGCCGCGAAAGCCAGGGGAGCGAACGGG
rnacentral:rRNA from 1 species